GUCUCCUUGCAGUCCCGAAGAAGCUGGUGGGUAUAGGGGGAGGAGGGAACAAGGAAGGGUAGGCUUAGGCUGGAAGGGGCCUUAAGAGCCAACUUAUCCAUCUCCUUGCUUCCUGACAGCACCUUAACCACACUACAUCAGUCGAUGAGACUCUUUUAAAGACUUCCCUCCGGAAAGAAUGGGACUGCUUCAGAUUCUGGGCAUUCAUGGGCACUCAGUAUCCAGGGAUAAGAAGGAUCAAGACUCAGAGCAGCUAACAGAUUCCACUUUUGGGGUUCCCAAGCAGCUUUGAGCUGUAUGUUCUCUUAGGUCUCAUCUGGGGGGGUAAAUUGAGGCAAGAGAAAUUAUUUGGGUUUUGGUUUUCUUGGCAGGGGUAAAGAGAAAUUUCCUCUUUAAUACAGCAGCCGUGGUCAGAGCAGAGAUUAGAAUUUACAGCCUACACGUUGCCACCUUCCCCAGAGCGGCAAGGUCAAGAUGUCCUAAGCUCCCUGUCUCCUCCCUGUCUCACUCCGGACCAUUGAUCUGUCCUUCUAUGUUACCUCCUCAACUCUUUUUCCAACACCAGAAUUUUCCUGGCUCAUUAAUGUGGACGGGGGUGAAAAAGUAGAAAAAACAGAGCCCUUCAAACUCAGUUUAAAUCUCCUCUCUCCUUGGCCACCGGGCUUGGUUGUUCUGCCUCUUACUGUCUGAGCCAUCAAUUUUACACGUAUCAUGCAGGUCUCAAAUGUCAGGUAGAGCAGGGACUAUUUAAUCUUCAGGCCUCUCAGGCCAUGGUCACCUCUCAGUAGGUGCCUCAGGGUCUGAGAGGACAAAUUCCUUCCAAUGCAGUGGGCAGACCUUAGACACUAGCAGUGAACAAGGCUCAGUCUUAGGGCUGGGGAUUAUAGGGACACCCCAGACAGGAUCCCUGCCCUCGAACUUACCAUCUGAUAGACAACGGUGAUCACCUCUUUCUACCUAGCCCCUGAUGCCCAAAUCUCCUCCGAGGCGGCUACUGUUCAGCUUCUGCUCACGUCAGGAGACAGCCCGUUCCAUUGACGUGUAGCUUUGGGCUGCAAUCUGCUCCCUCUAUCUUUUAUCCUUUGUUCCCAGUUUUUUCCUCCCCAUAGACUAAUGUCCUGCUCCUUAUCCUACGACAGAUCAAACUGACAAGUUCAAGCCAGUGGCAAGGACAAUAAGAGGAAGGGGAACCCUGCUGGGGACUCAUGGGAGACUUCACAGGGAACAUGAGAUCUGCGAGGCAUGUGAAGAACCAGUGUUCCUUCCUCUCAUUAUUCACAGCAGGGAGCCAGGAGAAUUCUGAUGUCCUUUUGGGACAGGAAAUGGAGGGAAGGAGGGAACAUAGCUGGACAACAAAAGAACCCUAAGCAUGUUGAGGGAGAGCAGUGAGGUCUUAAUUCUGUUCUUGGCCUUACCAGCAUGAUAGAAAGUAGCAGCAUAGGCCGGGCGUGGUGGCUCAUGCCUGUAGUCCUAGCACUUUGGGAGGCCAAGGCGGGUGGAUCACGAGGUCAGGAGUUCAAGACCAGCCUGGCCAAGAUGGUGAAACCCUGUCUCUACUAAAAAUACAAAAAUUAGCCAGGCAUGGUGGUGGGCACUGUAAUCCCAGCUACUUGGGAGGCUGAGGCAGGGAAUUACUUGAACUCAGGAGGAGGAGGUUGCAGUGAGCCGAGUUCGCACCACUGUACUCCAGUCUGGGUGACACAGCGAGACUCUGCCUCAAAAAAAAAAAAAAAAAAAAAAAAAAAAAGUAGCAGCAUAGGUACUGUGUGGGUUCUAAACUUUGCUUUCCCCUGACCAGCUGGGCUGAAGAAGAGUCUCUAUUUCUAACACAUCCCCUGCCAAACAAAAAAGAAAAAAAAAGCCUCAGUUUACCCUCCAGUCCUAUGAGCCCUGAGAAAAGAAGUCAUGUUGAAGCCACUAUAGGAACCCCCAUAUUUGCAUCUUUUGUUAUUCCAGGAUCCAGUGUGACUUACCUCU
rnacentral:lncRNA from 1 species